rnacentral:rRNA from 1 species
GAACGGGUGAGUAACGCGUGAGGAACUGCUCAAGAAGGGGGACAACAGUUGGAAACGACUGCUAAUACCGCAUAAGCCCACGGGUCGGCAUCGACCUGAGGGAAAAGGAGCAAUCCGCUUUGAGAUGGCCUCGCGUCCGAUUAGCUAGUUGGUGAGGUAACGGCCCACCAAGGCGACGAUCGGUAGCCGGACUGAGAGGUUGAACGGCCACAUUGGGACUGAGACACGGCCCAG